rnacentral:rRNA from 1 species
GACGAACGCUGGCGGCGUGCCUAAUACAUGCAAGUAGAACGCACAGUUUAUACCGUAGCUUGCUACACCAUAGACUGUGAGUUGCGAACGGGUGAGUAACGCGUAGGUAACCUGCCUGGUAGCGGGGGAUAACUAUUGGAAACGAUAGCUAAUACCGCAUAAUAUUAAUUAUUGCAUGAUAAUUAAUUGAAAGGUGCAAUUGCACCACUACCAGAUGGACCUGCGUUGUAUUAGCUAGUAGGUGAGGUAACGGCUCACCUAGGCGACGAUACAUAGCCGACCUGAGAGGGUGAUCGGCCACACUGGGACUGAGGCACGGCCCAGACUCCUACGGGAGGCAGCAGUAGGGAAUCUUCGGCAAUGGACGAAAGUCUGACCGAGCAACGCCGCGUGAGUAAAGAAGGUUUUCGGAUCGUAAAGCUCUGUUGUAAGAGAAGAACGGGUGUGAGAGUGGAAAGUUCACACUGUGACGGUAUCUUACCAGAAAGGGACGGCUAACUACGUG